CAGCCGCCGCGGUAAAACGGAGGGGGCUAGCGUUGUUCGGAAUUACUGGGCGUAAAGCGCACGUAGGCGGCUUGGUAAGUUAGAGGUGAAAGCCCAGGGCUCAACCCUGGAAUUGCCUUUAAGACUGCCGAGCUAGUAGGUGAGAGAGGUGAGUGGAAUUCCGAGUGUAGAGGUGAAAUUCGUAGAUAUUCGGAAGAACACCAGUGGCGAAGGCGGCUCACUGGCUCAUUCUAGACGCUGAGGUGCGAAAGCGUGGGGAGCAAACAGGAUUAGAUACCCGCGUAGUCCCUGUCUCUUAUAC
rnacentral:rRNA from 1 species